CAGUGUCUAUUACAUUAGACCAACUCAUUUGUUCAUUUGUUGAUGUCCUCUUAGUUUAUAGCCACUAAGCAAUUAUAUGAUUCCUUAUUUCAUUUCUACUUCAUUGUUUUUUUUUUCUGUUUCGGAAUCAUAUGCAUGUUGUCAGAAAAAAAAAAAUAAUUACAGCAAAUAAACAAAUAAGUAAUAAUUACGUUUUUUUGUAUAUAUUUGUGCUUGCAAGUUCAAUAAUAAAGAAUUGUUGUGGUGAAUAACUUAAGGAGAUUUCAAGGGUCCCGCAGAGCCCAUCUACGUUUUAUAAGAUUCCAUUGCCACCAAUCGCGAUGUUCCUCUAUUGCCAAAUAACAUAAUAUGAAGAGAACAACCAUUCUGCCUGAUGUGUAUAUACUUCUCAACAUUACUUGAUUAUAUAAUAACAUUUUAUUUACCUUUUUUUGGUUUUGUUUAGUAAAAUGGAUUAGUCUUGUUAGCUGUAAAAUCAACAUAUUCAGUAGAAUGAUGUUAUUUUACGAUUUAUUGGUCCUUUAUGUUUUAUCAAUGAUAGCAACAGUGUAUGACGAUGUAAGGAGAGAUUGACGAUAUACAAUUGAUUACAAGCUUUGAUUUAUUAAGAAAAAGGAAAAGCAAUUAUCUUUCACAAAUUUCCAAUUUUUUGUUUUGGUUCAGCUGUUUGCAAGAGGAGGUAGCUGUACAUAACGGGAUCAAUGUACUGCUGUCUAUCUGCUCUAACUUGGUCUAUAUUAAAAGAAACAACUUUGUGUGGUGUUGUUUCUUUUCACCGCCUCCAGGCUAAAUAUAGGAUCAUGCUCAUGAGUCUGCCCGCAGCAAGAAAAAUCAAUGAUACUUUCAUUCGCGUUCACUUUUAUAUAAAAGAUUCUUUCUUUAGCAAAACGAAGGGUAUUUCCCUUUUCAGUUAUUUUCCGAUGAUAGGUGUAAAAUUACCACGAAGUUAUGUUUACCAUUAUAAUUAGCGUUUUGUUAAAACGUGUUAUAAUUUUUUAUAAAAUUUAUUGGGUUUAUUGAAAUAAGAAAAGAAAAUAUCGGGAUACGAACGUAUAAAAAUCACCUUUAUGGUUGCUAGAAAUAUUGGUUUACAAGUGACGAAAUUACAAUGAUGGACCCACUCGAUGAGGAUAAAAACCAACAUAGCGACGUGGUGACUCAUGGAUCGUUUCACUUUACCUCGAACACGAUUAUUUGUUUCAAUCUCUGCACUUUUUUGUUACGACAACCAAACCUAUUAGCCGGCCCAGAAGUUAUGCCUAUCUUAUUAAAAAUUCCUUGCGGAGAAAUGAUAAUCAAAGGUACAGAAAAGGGCAUAAGCAAUGCACUAUAGAAGGAACACAAUAUUUAUUAGAAAUGGCUUUCGUAUUAUAUCAAGAUUGCACUACAUGCAGGAUACGGUCGGUAUUUUAAAUAUACCGUCUCUGAUUGAAGAGAACUUUGACCUUAGCAGAGUUUGGUCUCCUAAGAAAUUACAAAGUGCGUUAAAUUUAUGGGAUUAGUGUUAUUUAAUCGGGGACAGCCGGUAAGCUAAUCCGGCCAACCGCCAUAAACUUAGUAGUAUUGUCAGGACGGCCCCUAAGCUAGGUCAACCAUUCUUAAUCCGUUAAUUCCUAGUUUGCCUUUUUGGCUGUCCUAACAUACCUGAAAUACCAUGUGUAGUUUGCACUGCGCUUUUGUAUCUGUUUACAGCUACGCUACGUACAUUAUUUCGUGUGUGUCAUAACGGUUGUAUUGGUUGUAUCUAUAGAUGUUCACAAUAACUUUACGAAUUUUGUUUAUUAAAAAAGGGUUUUAACUUUUUAUUGUUUUUAUUAAGCUAUUAAAGUUUUUAAGUCUUGUUUUGCAUUUUUAAAUUUAAUAUAAAAUUAUAUUUCUCAACAGUCGUCUUUAUUUACACUUAUAUAUUUUCCUUUUUUAAUUGUUUCUUUUCAUUAUCCUUCUCGUUACCAAUUGAUAUACAUUUUACAU